ACUAGCAGAUGUUUAGGAAUGUGCCUUCUCAAAACAAGAUAACUUCCUGAAAACUGCUGGU
ensembl:miRNA gga-mir-1661 gga-mir-1661